UGUGGGAGCUGGCUUGCCUGCGAUAGCGGUGUGUCAGUUGACAAUAAGGUGCUGACCCACCCCUAUCGCAGGCAAGCCAGCUCCCACA
rnacentral:antisense_RNA from 1 species